CCAGGAUCAGGUUGCCUAAGGUCACACAGCUGGUAUGUGCCAGAGCUGGGAAGAGAACGUGCACUUGUAUGACUCCGGGAUGUUGGCUUUCUGCCUUGACGCCCCAGCCUCUUCAGCUGUGGCUGGUGGCAGGUCCUGGGCCUCUAGCGAGGACGUGCCUGGCUGUGGGCCCAGCCUGGGAUUGACCUCACACCCUCUCUCACACCUGGGGCUUCACUGACAGCGGCGGGCACAGUGCCUUCCUUUCUCUUUCCCUAGACACCAGCUCUGACCCUCCAAUUUCCACCAUGAUCACAGUGUUCUCAGAGUCAGGCAGCAUAUGAGGAAAAUUGCCCUUUCCCUGGAAUAAUUUACCAUCUUGUAAUUUCCAUUACCUGACCCUGUUGGAGCCUAUUCCGUGCUGAGCUGUUUGAAUUUCCAGCUUGGAAAUCCCCAGGCUGGGCGGGAAAUGCUGUUUCCUGAGGGAGGAGCAGACGAGGGAGGUGCUGCCUGCAGGCUUGGCGGAGGGUCAGGGGGUGUUUGGGACAGGGACACAGUGGGGAGGGGGCUGAGAACAGCAACCAGGCAGCAUUUGUGAUUCUUCUGAAUCCAGAGGGGCUUGUGUGAUGAAAUUCCACAGGGCUCUGCCAGGCUGAUACGUGGGAAGGGUGGCAGAGGGCUACUGCGACCUACAGGCAGGGGGUGGUCCUAGGCAGGCAAAGGCAUUGGUAGGAAUGCAGAGAGGGCUACAGAAAGCAAGGGGACUCCUGGGCCAGGCCCUGGACCGGGGCACAGAGUAAGGCUGUUGAGGGUGUUGAUUUCAGUUUUUGACAAGUCGAGGAUCCUCCGGAUACCACGUGACAACACACAGCUUAAGAGCACGGGCCUUGGGCUCAAAUCCUCGCUCUGUCACUCGCUGGCAGUGUGGUCCUGUGCAAGUUGACGGACUUCUCUCAGCCUCAGUUUCCUCCUCUGUGAAGUGGAGGGAAUGGUGUCCACCCCCCAUUAUUCCUUUAAUGUGAGCGCUAACUCAGGGCAAGUGUGUAAAGACCCAGUCUGGCCUCCAGCUGGGGUCCAUCUGACCCAGGUGGUGGCUGUUUACAGGGAUCAACUCUCCCCAGUUUGCUGGGAACUUUCCUGGUUUUAGCCCUGAAAGUCCCGCAUCUUGUGAAACCCGUUGGUCCUGGAAAACCUGGAUGGUUGCUCACUCUGCCUGUGGUCUCCCGCUCCUCAUUGCACUAAAAGUGCCAGGUCAUGUCUGUGUCCUGGGGAAGGCCGAAGCCCUUGCUAAGGUUUCUGUAAUAUCACCUGUGGCUCUGAGGCCUGCUUUGGCUGAGUUAAUUCGGUGUUGAGGUCGGUACGUGUGCUUGCACACGUUUCUGAACCACAGAGACUCAGAUGUGACAUUCAGCCCCCAUUCCCCCCAGAUCCACAGGCACAAAGCAUCUGGGUGUCAGAGACACCGCAGACGUCUGGGGUGGGAUGGGGGCGCUGAGAUCACCGUAGUGCAAUCCACAGGCACAAGGCACCUGGGUGUGGGAGACACCGCAGACGUCUGGGGUGGGAUGGGGGCGCUGAGAUCACCGUAGUGCAAUCCACAGGCACAAGGCACCUGGGUGUGGGAGACACCGCAGACGUCUGGGGUGGGAUGGGGGCGCUGAGAUCACCGUAGUGCAAUCCACAGGCACAAGGCACCUGGGUGUGGGAGACACCGCAGACGUCUGGGGUGGGAUGGGGGCGCUGAGAUCACCGUAGUGCAAUCCACAGGCACAAGGCACCUGGGUGUGGGAGACACCGCAGACGUUUGGGGUGGGAUGGGGGCGCUGAGAUCACUGUAGUGCAAACAGCAUCAAAUGGAACAUGACACACAACUCCUUUGGCCGCCCCCUGAAAGUGUGGGGGAUGCAGGGGUGGAAGGGAGCUUCACUCAGGGACCUCCUGCCUCAACCCCUCACUCUGACCUCUGCUCUUUCCUCUAAAUUUUGUUCGUUUCUAACGUCUCUUUUGUGGCCUUGGCCCCGGGUUGAAAUGUGCCCUUUAAAAGCAUUUUUCCUAAACGAAGACAAUUCCUCUCCAAGAGGAGCUGUUCCCUCCCCAGCUGUUCAGAAAAUCCAGGUGUGUUUCCACCUGCAACAAUGCCGAGCUGUCAGCUUAGACUUGGAAGGCGCUAAGAGCUGGGGAAGGCCACAUUUGGGGUCUGGUUCCAGGCCUUGCGGGUCACCAUCCCUGGCUGUAUUAGUCCUUUCCUGCACUGCUAUAAAGUACCCAAGGCUGGGUAAUUGAUAAAGAAAAGCAAAGUAAUGGGCUCACGGUUCCUCAGGCUGUACAGGAAGCUUGAUGCUGGCAUGUGCUCAGCUUCUGAGGAGGCCUCAAGAAACUUACAAUCAUGGCAGAAGGCUAAGGGGGAGCAGGCAUGCCACACGGUCAGCGCAGCAGCAAGAGAGUGAGGCGGGAGGUGCUACCCACUUGUAAAUGGCCGAGCUCGUGAGGACUCACCAAGGCGGACGGUGCUCAACCAGUCAUGGGAAAACCGCCCCCGUGAUCUAGUCGCUUCCCACCAGGCGCCACCUCCAACGCUGAGGGUUACAAUUCGACAUGACACGCGGGGGGGACACAGAUCCAAACCACGUCAUCAGCUCUUUCAGAGGGAGAUGGCUCUGGACCCCACUUUAGAGUCUGGCUGAUUUGCUCUCCCAGGUGCGCCUGGCACAGCUCUCAGGUUCUGCAGGAGCCGCUGGGCUUGGACGAAGGGCCCUCCCGCAGUGUGAGGAGCCUGGCGACCUGGCCCGGUCUCACCCCACAGCCUAGGGCAGAGAUGCCACAAAGUCACAGACUUUCAGGGCCAAGAGACCCUGGAGUGCGUCUGACUCGGCCUCGUGUUUCACAGGGAAUCUGAGGCCCGCACUGGCCAAGUGACCUGUCUGUACUUACACACUCUGGAGGCAGCAGAGUGGAGGAGAGUGGUGCUAUGGCCUGAGUGAUUUAUUUUAGAAUACAGUCAUGCAUUGUAUAACGAAGUUUGUCAAUGACAGGCUGUAUAUCCAGCGGUGGUCCCAUAAGACUACAAAGCAGCUGAAAAUUCCCGUUGCCUAGUGAGGUUGCGGCGUGUAAUGUCACAGUGCAACACGUUAUCACUCGUUUGUGGUGAUGCUGGUGUGAACACACCUAUUACACUGCCAGUCACAUACGAGUGGACAGUAAUGCCCUGGGCCCUCACACUCACCACACACUGACUCUCCCACAGCGACUCCAGUCCCGCAAGCUCCAUUCACGGGAAGUGCUCUAUACACCUGUGUCAUUUUAAAACAUCUUUUAUACCGUAUUUUUACUGUACCCUUUCUAUGAUUAGCUACACACAUAAUUCCACGGUGUCGCAGUUGCUACAUGCUGCACAGGUUUGUAGCCCAGGAGCCCAGGCUCUCCCACAUAGCCUAGGUGUGCUGUAGGUUCUGCCACUUAGAUUUACGUCCGUGCUCUCUAUGAUGUCUGCACAAUGAUGAAAUUGCCUGACAACACAUCUCUUGGAAGUAUCCCUGUCGUAUCCUGGUUGUUAGGUGACACAUGCCUGUACUUCUGUGUGAAUGAGUUUGAGUAAGAUCUCAUCUGCACACACAUUAAGGGCUGGCUAGCCUUAUUAGCAUAAGGAAUGUGGCAGUGGGUUUUCUUUCAUUUAUUUACUGUUUUUGAAUAGGGUCUUGUUUUGUUACCCAGGCUGAGUGCAGUGGCGAGAUCAUGGCUCACUACAGCCUCCAACUUCUGUGCUCAAGCAAUCCUCCUGCCUCAGCCUCCCAAGUAGCUGGGACUACAGCUAUAGUGAUUUUGAUAGGGGGGGAAUUUGUUGGGGGUCACUGAGGCGGGCUGGGGCACACAGACCAGGGCUCCCCACGAGGGCCUCUGAGGCACACAGACCAGGGCUCCACACAAGGGCCCUCUGAGGUACGCAGACCAGGCUGAGGCACAGAGACCAGGGCUCAAGAGCUGCUCUGCCCAGGAUUCCUGUGGCUGCUGUGAACUGAGUGCUCCUGGCCGAGGACCCACAGCUUCUGGGAAGUGUAGGUUGGGGCUCCUGAUCUGCUGGCCCCUCCCUAGGGAUGCAGAGCACACAGGCCCUGGGCCUGGAGUGUUUCCAUCCAUCCACACAUCCUUCUUCCCAUCAGGACACUGGUCCAUCCUCUGUUCAUCUGUCCAUCCUCUCAGAUGUCCUUCAGCACAUUGGUCCAUGCAGAAUAUCUAUGCACCUGUCUCUCCAUCCAUCUGUCCAAUGCUCCAUCAGUCUGUCCAUCAUCCAUCCUCCCAUCUGUCCUCCACCCACCCACCCCCACCAUCCCCC
rnacentral:lncRNA from 10 species